GUGCUCGCUUCGGCAACACAUAUACAAAAAUUGGAACGAUACAGAGAAGAUUAGCAUGGCCCCUGCGCAUCUGGUGAGUUUGGAUUUUGCCCAUACGUGUUUUU